rnacentral:rRNA from 1 species
UUUCGACGGUAAGGUAUUGGCUUACCGUGGCAGUGACGGUUAACGGGGGAUUAGGGUUCAAUUCCGGAGAGGGAGCCUGAGAAACGGCUACCACAUCUAAGGAAGGCAGCAGGCGCGCAAAUUACCCAAUUCUAACAGCAUAAGAGAGGUAGUGACAAGAAAUAACAGUACAAGGCAGUUAAAAUGCUUUGUAAUUGGAAUGAUAGAAAUUUAAAUACUUUUUAAAGUAUCAAUUGGAGGGCAAGUCUGGUGCCAGCAGCCGCGGUAAUUCCAGCUCCAAUAGCGUAUAUUAAAAUUGUUGCAGUUAAAAAGCUCGUAGUUGAAUUUUUGCUAAAAAUAACCGGUCUGCUUUUAUUAAUAAAAGUGGUAUCUUGGUGUGUUUUUAGCAAUAAUGUCCUUUGAAAUGUUUUUUACUUUAUUGUAAAAAGCAAUUUUCAGGAUUUUUACUUUGAGAAAAUUAGAGUGUUUCAAGCAGGCUAACGUUUUGAAUACUGCAGCAUGGAAUAAUAAAAUAGGAUUUUAGUUCUACGUUAUUGGUUUUAAGAACUAAAUUAAUGAUUGAUAGGAGCAGUUGGGGGCAUUUGUAUUUAACUGUCAGAGGUGA